GCCUCACGGCGCGUCAUUUUCAACCUCCCUGUUGGACUUCGGCCGAGCUUUGUGCUCGGCCUUUUUU
rnacentral:ncRNA from 1 species